rnacentral:lncRNA from 1 species
GGAUCUAUGUUUUCUCUAUUAUACAUGCAAAUAAGAACAUCCAAGGUAUUAUCCUAAUCUAGCAUACAAAACAAUGACUAUAGCAAGAUAGAAUACAUACCUCUUUGAUGUAGAAAGUCUUCAUGAAGCUUGAGUGCCUAGUGCCCCAAGUGUGACACCUCAAAUGGAAUCACAAUCAUCAAAACACUUGGAAUGACUUGAGAGAAUUCUACACUCUUCAAAAUCGGCUAGCCCUUUCUUCACUAUCACUAGUGGCCGAUUUUUCCUCAAUAAUAAGAUGCUUAUAUAGUUACACAAUUAGGGUAAACUCUUAAUUGUCAUGGCUUUCCAUUUCCUUGGAUCCAUGGGUACAAAUACACCAUGGAGCAUCCAUGGACCAUCCUAUGGGUUUUAGCCCAACUUGAUUAUCCAUGGAGCAUUAGCCCACUAUACAAGUAUGGAUGAUUUACACAAUCAACCCAUAUAUUUAAUUAGUCUUCUUUUGAUCACUUAAUUAAUCCUAGAUUAAUUCUUGAUCAAUACUAAUUAAAUAAUCUUAUUAUUCUUAUUAUUAAUAUACUAGAACUUAUAAUAUAUUAAUAACCAUAAGUGUCUUAUUUCUCUCAUUAUAGUCUAUCCAAGUGCAUGAUGGUAUGCAACCCAAAUGGACCAUGCCGGGUCGGGUCAAGUCUUACCAAUUAUAGUUAUGGACUUAGACAUUAAUCCAACAGUCUCCCACUUGGAUAAGUCUAAAACUAUUAUUGCGUAUGACUUCAGGAACCAACUGGCAAUCGUAGCUCUCAAAAGCUUCUGUCGAACUCUGACCUUGUAGAUGAACUCUGACCUUUGUCAGUGACUUGUCCAUUAGAUAAGGGAUCAUAUAUUCCUCCAUUCUAGAUAUCAUAUGGACUGAGACAUGGAUUAUAAUCAUUCUCUCUGUCCAUUUGUUGUUUCCCGAUUUCCGAUUUAUGACGACUGACUAAUUGAACAAAUCAAAUCAGUCCUGGCCCGGCCGAGCACUUCCAUUUGUCAUCAUCAAAUCAUCGAGGGGCCCACAGAUAUCGCUUUUAUCCCGAAGGUAAAAGGAAUGGAUAAACUUCGACUCAUAUGGCUUGUUCUACUACUUGUUGAAUCAUACACAAAGGCACGUUUUAUAGCACCGAGUUACCAAAUGCGUUUUCGUGCAAUCAAUGUACUAUCAACUCAUAGUAACAACUCAUAUCUCUAGGUUUGAAGAAUAUAAGAUAUUAUCGUCUCAUGAUCACUCGUGAUAAAAUCCAUGAAGUGAUUCCAAUGAGCGCGGGUUGAAUCCAAUACUCAGAACUUAUGAGCACUCAUGAGUGUUGUAGCCCUUUGUCCAACACCUUAGACCUCUACAAGCCAACCCAUGACAGUCUUAAUUCAUAUCUACUUCCAACAUAUGACCGACUGUGGAUGGUUUGAAUAACUUAGUCAUUCCGAAACAAUAACCUAGUUUAUUCUGGAAGUCAAAAAUGCAAAAUGAAACACAAGAAUAAUUGAAUCCAAUAUGGUAUCAAAACCUAUGAACAUAAAUAAAACACCUUUUAUUUAUCACCAUAUGAUUACACAUUAUUCAUUGUAUACUGUUUCAGCUAUCAACUUUAUUCUUGAAUUUAAAACAAUAGUUGUCCCAUGCUCCAAGCAUGUACACUAUGUUUUCUAUACACUAGUCAUGCCAUACACCAAGUAUGCAUACUAUGUUUGUCUAUGAUCUUUACUUUGUGAACUAGAUCAAUCGAACAUAACUCCAAUGAUCCUCUUUUCACAGUCCCAAAUCCUUAAAUGCAAGAAUUCCAAAUUCAUGCCAUUUACAGAAAUCUGUUAGAUUCUAAACUUAUAUGCAUUGAUCCUCUUGUAAUGAUUAUGCACAAAGUCACAAAGACUUGGCAACAAUCAUUACAGAGUAUUCCAAAGGAGAUCAACUCCUUGGAAAUAUCCUUCUUGCAUUAAGUUUCCUUAAUCUUACACAGAUUGAAAAUUCUAACUUUGAAACAUUUCCAGAUUCCAUUUUGACUAUCACUUCUGAACAAGAGUUGCCUCCUUACAGAUUAUGUCAAUAUGGUCCUUCCAGAAUUAUCACUAUACUUCCAAUUGUCCUUGAGUAACCAAUCUUUGGUAAACCUUAGAUUGUCCUCGACAAUUGUUUAAUCCUUUUAGUCAUAUCCAGUUCUAAACCUUUUCCCUUCUUAAUGCCCCAGGCAUUUGGAAAAUUUUAGAACGGAUGAAUAUAGCACAUGUAAUCGAUCCUAUAUCCGAAGCAUAUGGGACACGAUUCAUGAUGUCUUACAUAAAGACUAAACCAGUCUUUUGCUAUAAUAUUUCCAUUUCAAUUUGCCAAGUUCUCAUAAUUCAGAUUAUGAAAAGGGAUGCCGUAAUCAUAAUCGAAUUUUAGAACGCAAAUAAUGGACCCAUAUACAGAAUUUCCUUAUGUUGAGCCAUUCCAACAUGAAAUUCAUAUAUAUCCUUGACUAAAUGAUUAAAACCUCACGAUCUAAGCUUAUAGAUUUGAGAUGAAGCAUAAUUUCCUCUCCCUUAAUUAUAGCAAAACAACUUUUUCCCAAUUGAAACUUUUGUUUUCUAUAAUUAACAUUGCUAACUUGCAAUACUUAUCAUAAUUAUCAUGCUCCCACUAACAUGAUGAUUAUUAGCAUAACACUUAUGCUCCCACUAGCUUUGACAUGUACUCAGAAAUCAGCUGGACAGUCUGAAAUUUAGAUUCAUACACCCUUUCCGUAGAUAGCUCACCUGUGUGUCUAAGCAAUUUCAAGAACCAUGAAAAGGGAUACCGUAAUCAUGGUCUCAAUUGCUUAGGCAUUUGCCAUUUCUCACAAGUCCAUGUUAGUGUGCCGGUUAACCACACGCGCUCCACUAACGACUUUUGAAAAUGCAAAUAACACAAUUGAUAUCUUCGUAAAAUCUACUUAGUGAAAGCGUUUCCUCACCAUCAUUUUCAUGAAUCGGAGAGAAACCUUAUGACACUUAGAUUUAUAUGGUGUAUGAGUUCCUACCCAUAUGAAUUUGUCAAACCAUAAUCACAAGACAAAGAUAAUGACAAAUCCAAAACCAUAUGGAUUGAACUCAAUCUUAACUUCUUGCCACCUGGCAGCUCAAGGGCCUGCCAUUGCUUCCAAGUUGUUAUGCAACAAACUGAGAACUCUAAGAACUCAUAUGCAAAGCCAACUUUAACUGGAAUGGGCACAGAUAUGUCAACACGAUAGGUUAUAAACCUCAAGUCGUGUGCUAGUGAAGAACUUUAGGUUUUAUUCUUGAUUAUUUCUUGAGACUUUCAAGACCUUUAAGACUCCCACUGUCCUCUUGACAUAUAAGACUCCCUUGUCAAACAUCCAAGAGAUAGUGCGGAUUCUAAUCAAGAAAAACACUUUACCCAAUUGGCCUAAGUUGGUCUUUGUUUUAUCCAAAACAUCACAACUUACCAAUUUCAAAUGUACAAGAGUAGAAAACUUUUACUCUUACAUUUGACAAGUGUUUUAAACCUUCUUUAAGACAUGUCACUCAAAUGACAAUCUUGGAGUAUGACUCUAAGACUUGUAUUGGAACGAAGUAUGACUCAUCUUCUUGAUUUAACCAUUUCAACAAUUCAAGUUCCUCUUCUUAGUCAUAAGAAUGCACUAAGAUUUCCUUAGAGAACUAAUUUUGAUAUGGUUUCUUAAUCAUUAAGAUGAUCACAAAACUGAUACUAAAGUACUCUCCCAUCUUUUCAGAUUUGAGAAACUUUUAUCCUUCUGCCUUAUUUGAUUCUUCUUAUCGAUCUUUAGUGGUGGACUUAAUCAGUGCACAAGAAUGUGUACUCGAUCCCUAAGUCCUUUACUUGACUCACACAUCCAUGUGAACAAGUAAUUAGUCUUAAUUUUCCAAAACUUGAAAGUUCUCAUUCAUCAUGCUAUACAACUUGCAUGAUUCCAAGUUCCGGUCCAAUUGAAACUUGGGUGAUGAGAAUCUUUCCUUAUUUGGUAAAUUUAGACAUUACCACAAAUGAAAGAAUCAAUUUCAUAUUUCCACUCUUGCUCUUAAUGGAAUCAUAUAAGCAACAAUUUUUCCUCAAAUGCCAUUGUAAGGAUAUUUUAAAAUAAAUAAAAUAAAAAAUUUUCUUUUAUUUUAAAACUUUGCGGAAAAACUUAUCCUUACAAUCCAUAUGAAAACUUGUUGUUAUCUAUUCCUAAGCAAUAUCUCAUAACUCCUAAGAAGUAGCUCAAGAAUCCGAUCUUCAAACUAUGCGAUAGAAAUCCAUCUACGCCAUCAGAUUCAGCAUAUUCUUUCUUUAAGUUUCUUCACUUUUCUUUGAUUCUUAAAACAUCACCAUGUGACCCAGUCACAUCAUGUAUCAAGAAUCUCAGAAUAGAAACUUAACAGAGUUAGAUAGUGGACUUUACCUGAAGUAGAGUCAAACUUAUUGACUUUAACAUCCUUAGGUAAAUUUGGCAGCUUCGCAACCAAUGCCCCUUCCUUUGGCAAUAUAAACAUAUGGACCCUUUGAUAAUGGUACACGGGACUAUCACAGACUUAGCUUUUCUCUUUACCAUUUGGUCAACCGAGUUGACUAUGGCCGAUCCCUUUCCAUUGGGAAGAGAAUGCUUUACUGGAUAUCCAAUGUCAUCAUUGUCAAUGUCCAUAAAGUUUUAGGAAGUUGAUCUUAGCAAAUAGAUAAGAUCAUUAAGGGUCUUGUCAUAGUCUGUUUCAUAGGUGUCCCAAAGGAACUCACUAUGUGACUUAGAAAGUGGUUGAACCACCAACUUUCUCAAGACUUUGACACCCAACUCUCCCGGCUUGUCAAUAUGUGACUACAUCUCCAAGAUGUGACCACACCUAGACCUUGCCUUGCUAAUAGGGCCUGAGUGACCUUAAACUUUUCAAGAACUUGUGGGUUAGGGAGAAUAAUUUGAAGAGGUGAAGAAGUAUGAUAUCCAUGGGACAUCAUCUUCAUUAGGAAACCUUGUUUCAAGAGAUUUGGGAAGAUCAUAGGUGUCUAAACCAGACAUCUUUUGGGAGAUAUUCAAGAUAGUUGAUUUAAAGUCCUUAAUAUGACACCCAAUAUGAAAUAUUAAGGCUAGGACCCAACAAACUAUUUUAUAACUUAGAAGAGGUAUGCCGUAAUCCAAGCUAUAAAAUAUUUGAAGGUAGGUGAAUGACGAUUCACCAAUUUCCACCAAGAUAAACGAAAUGUAUUAUUAGGUUUUAAUUGGUUUUGAAACUCCUAGAUCUUUGAGAUUCAUUGAACUUUUCAAAGGCAUGUUUCAAUCUCGAGUGUGCCCUUCAGGUUUUGUGACUGGGAUGCCGAGGAUCACAAAACAAGGUGUGAAGUAACCAUGCAAAUCACUUGGUACCCUUAAUAAAUUACCCCUCAAUCGAUGUGCCGGUUAACCACACACGCUCCAUCGAUACUAUGAUAAAUAUUAAGUCACCCUUUACCUACCUUGUUAAGUCCAAGUUAGUGUGCCGGUUAACCACACACGCUCCACUAACGACUUAAACAAAGUGUAAAGUGUAAUUUCAUGGAUUAGCACCUUAUUCACAUUUUUCCUAAGUAACUAAGAUUGGGUAUUAUUAAGAGUUUAGUUACUUAGUAUUAUCAUUAAUACUUUUAAUGAAGGGAGAAUUCUAGUCCUGUCAAACCCGUUCGGCUAACGACCCUCCACCAGUCAAGCAAGCGGUGGGUGAGAGUGGACACCCAUUAAGUUGCCAUUUUAUAGGCAACAACCUUAUACCCACCUUAUAGACCGGCUUCGUGAAUGAGGCGUACUAGCGGUAAGACUGACUUUACUCUUAUACAUAUAUAUAUUAUUAACUUAUAAUAUUAUAAAGUAUAAGGGUUGAAUUUUAACUUUUAAAAUUCUAAGGGCUAACUUGGAAUUAAAGUAUUCAUAAGUGAAAACUUUUCAAAUUCCAAAACUUGAGGGCAAGUUUUGAAACUAUUCAAAACUAAUUAAUUCCAUAACUUAUGUGUUUAAAGUAGUUUUAAUCCAAAAACUCUUCAAGUUCCAUAACUUGAGGACAAGUUAUGGAAGACUUUAAACUAAUAAAAGAAUUAACUUUUCUUUAUUUUAUAACUUAUGGAAUUAAUUAAGGUUACACUUUAUUUAUUUAUUUAUUAAUGAAGUGACUCUUGAACCUCCAUAACUUAAGGACAAGACUCUUCAUCUUUUGUAACCAUUGCCAACUUUUAUGAGUUUUAUGAAACUUAAAUGUGACUUUUCAUAUAACUUGAGGACAAGUUACAAAAACACAUUUUAGAAUCAACUCUUAGAUUAAUUUGGAUUGAAAACAACUAUUUCACUCAACUUUUCUAUUAAUCUAAGCAACUCAUAAGAACAAGAUAAUUCAAAUCAAACUUUUUCAUGUAAUUAGUCUAAACCUUAAACUAAUACAAAACAUGAAUCUAUUGACAAUUAUCUUUGAAAAUGGAUUAGCAUGAACAUUACCACAUUAAAAAACAAGUUUAUAAGUUCAAAAACAACUUAGGGUAAUGUUCCUAGUCCAUUUCUAGCCAAAAAACUCGAAAAUAUGCUGUCUGGGGGUCCAACUCGUCGAGUGCAUGAACCAACUCGGCGAGUUGGAUCGAAUUGAUCACUUUUUAGGCAUGGACUCGCCGAGUCUCCUGAUGGACUCGCCGAGUCUGAUGAUCAGACAGCACCAAAUUCGUUUUUUCAGCUUCUAUUGCAAGUAUAACAAGAAAACAAGCCUAGGCUCUGAUACCACUGUUGGGUUUUGAGCAUUCUAACACUCCUAAGUGUACAUGCAACCCUAAAUACCUUGGAUCUAUGUUUUCUCUAUUAUACAUGCAAAUAAGAACUUCCAAGGUAUUAUCCUAAUCUAGCAUACAAAACAAUGAAUGUAACAAGAUAGAAUACAUACCUCUUUGAUGUAGAAAGUCUUCAUGAAGCUUGAGUGCCUAGCCCCAAUAGUGUGGAAGCCUCAAAUGGAAUCACAAUCACCAAAACACUUAGAAUAACUUG